rnacentral:tRNA from 1 species
GGUUUGUGGCUCAGUGGUAGAGUGCUUGCCUAGCAAACAAAAGGCACUGGGUUUGAUCUCCGGCACCA